ACGUGAGCUGUUUGGGGUCCUGAGGACCGAGUUUGAGAACCACUGCUCUAGACUGCACACUCUUACGAGCAGGAUCCUCUCCACUCUCUGUCUAAGCACUAGUAUAUUUGAAUUCUCAGGAGAGUAAUUUGAAAGUUGCAAGUAUAACCAUAUGUACAUUUGGUGACACGGACAAGACAGUAAAUGAAUUAAACAGCCAUGAAACUAAAGAAGUGAAGUUUUUGAAGUUGUUAAACUACAAGUUCCAAGACGUCACAUUUGUAUGAGGAAUCCCAACAGUGCAGGGACUUGUUAAUGAACACUGGACCACUAGGAAUGGGGGAAUAUGCGCCCACAUGGUCCUUGAUGGCCUACUGGGA